ensembl:lncRNA
AUUCAGGAAGUGAUCAAUAUAUUCCGCCGUAUGAUAUGUUUCACUGCUGAAAAUCAGACACAAUCGGCCGGCCCGGAGGGAUCUCAUUGUCACGGAAUGACCAGGAGACCGACAGGAGGUAGUAGAAUCAAGUUUAUUUGUCAAUAAUCUAACAGAGAGCGAAAGAGUUUAACCCAUAGUCUAAUACUAUCAAAAGAGAGCGAGUCUAAGUGUCAUGAUACUAACAAGACUAGACAAGGAGUGAGUGUGCCAGUGCAGUUUAUAAAGGUGGUGACUGAUGAGGUGUGAAGAACGUGCAGGUGCGUGUGAUCAGUACUGAGGCGAUAGUGAAUUCCUAGGGGCGGGACGAUCAGGGUCGUCAGCAUGGAACUGGGCGAGGAACUGGGCGAGGAGAGCAGGGUCCAAGAUGUUAUCACGUGGUUCCCACGACUGCUCCUCUGGACUGUAGACCUCCCAGUCGGCCAGUCCGCAGACAGACGAGAAGAAACUGCUGAAUGGUCUCAGUGGAUCGUCUCGUCAACUCCAACAACAAACUGCCGAUAUCAACGAGCGGUUAGGGACUCUCCAGGUUGCUGUCCAUAGAGGAGAGGUUGGCGGCUCUGGAGGAACUGACUCAAAGAAGAGGAGACGGGCGCACAAUCCCAAGAUAGCGGAAGCGGUGUGCCGUCUUCACAACUCCGAGACGAAUUACAGGCGCUACGAACUGGAGCAAGGACUAAUCUCGCCUCAUGAGUCGGUGACCUCGUAUUUGCUCCGGGAAAAGUCCAGAUUUAGACGACGUCAUUGUGUGUAAGUGACACUGUUUACGGUUUCUCCUUCCUUGUUAAAUGUUACUGUGAGAUUUUUUUUUUAUUCAUACCACACUCAUUUAAUUGUUUUCCAGUCGCCUGUGAGACGUAUUUUGAAACGGUACGCAGGAGCUUCAGGUUCAGCCGGAACACUCAUUGCGGGCGGAAGCUGCGAAGGAUUCAGUGGGGAGUCGAGCGAGAAGAAAGAGGGUCAGAGUUUAUUUGCUGACUUGUUUUCAGGUGCAUUGAUAGAUGUGUUGUGUCCAUACGCAUCGCACAGUACUGAUUCAUUGUUGUUUUUACAGCUGCUGGAAUCGAGACAAAGUGUGCUGGCUGAUGACGAGGUGGAACUCUGGAAAUCCGCCACCGUAGAGCUCACGUCGGACGGAGAGGAUGGCGUUGUUGGCGGGGUCUCGGGUUGGAUUGUACGGUGCAGUCCCGGUGGGAGGCAACUCAGAAAAACAGAGCCACACACACUAGGCGCCUGCACAACAGACCUACCUCGUAAAACACGGCGCCAGUGACAGUCUACAACCCCGAGGAGGCAAACGGACAGUUUACUGAGCUGUAGUUUUUUAAACCGCCUUUACCCAAGUGUGGGCAGAUCCUCACUUUGUAUGUAGUUGUUGUUUGUAUGUUGUUAAUAAAGCUCUUUCUUUGC